rnacentral:tRNA from 4 species
GGAGGCGUGCACCGAACUGGCUAAGGGGCCGGUCUCGAAAACCGGUGGGCAGCAAUGCCCUUGUGGGUUCGAGUCCCACCGCCUCCGCCA